GCGCUGCCUGGGAGCCCCCGCCGCAGGGGUUCUGGAUGCAGCGCCACAGCACACGUUUGCACACAGCUGGGGUGGUCUGCUCUCCGCCGCGGCCCUUUUCACCACAAGAAACCUGG
ensembl:snoRNA